rnacentral:rRNA from 1 species
AAAGAAACUAACAAGGAUUCCCCUAGUAACGGCGAGUGAAGCGGGAACAGCUCAACUUUAAAAUCUGGCCCUUUCAGGGUCCGAGUUGUAGUCUCGAGAAGCCACGUCCGCGCCGGACCUUGGACAAGUCGGUUGGAAUACCGCGUCAACGAGGGUGACAAUCCCGUUUAUACCAAGGACGCCCGUGUGCAUUGUGAUGGGCUUUCAAAGAGUCGAGUUGUUUGGGAAUGCAGCUCUAAUCGGGUGGUAAAUUCCAUCUAAAGCUAAAUAUUGGCGAGAGACCGAUAGCGAACAAGUACCGUGAGGGAAAGAUGAAAAGCACUUUGGAAAGAGAAUGAAACAGUAUGUGAAAUUGCUGGAAGGGAAACGAUUGAGGUUAGACUUGCUGGCACGGCACUCAGCCCUCACGGGUGUAUUUGCCGUGCGUUUGCAGGCCAGCAUCGGUUUGCAGUCGGGUAAAAGGGUGCAGGGAACGUAGCAACCUCGGUUGUGUUAUAGACCUGCACUGGAUGCCCGAUCGCAGACCGAGGUCAGCAGGGCGCCGCAAGGCAAUGCCUCUUGGCAUCGAGCCCUUAGGAUGCUGGUAGAAUAGCCUUAACCGACCCGUCUUGAAACACG